AACGAACGCUGGCGGCAGGCUUAAACACAUGCAAGUCGAGCGCCCCGCAAGGGGAGCGGCAGACGGGUGAGUAACGCGUGGGAAUCUACCCAUCUCUACGGAAUAACGCAUGGAAACGUGUGCUAAUACCGUAUACGUCCUUCGGGAGAAAGAUUUAUCGGAGAUGGAUGAGCCCGCGUUGGAUUAGCUAGUUGGUGGGGUAAAGGCCUACCAAGGCGACGAUCCAUAGCUGGUCUGAGAGGAUGAUCAGCCACACUGGGACUGAGACACGGCCCAAACUCCAACGGGAGGCAGCAGUGGGGAAUAUUGGACAAGGGGCGCAAGCCUGAUCCAGCCAUGCCGCGUGAGUGAUGAAGGCCCUAGGGUUGUAAAGCUCUUUCACCGGUGAAGAUAAUGACGGUAACCGGAGAAGAAGCCCCGGCUAACUUCGUGCCAGCCGCCGCGGUAACAC
rnacentral:rRNA from 1 species